rnacentral:misc_RNA from 1 species
GAUGAAGAACGCAGUGAAAUGCGAUAAGUAAUGUGAAUUGCAGAAUUCAGUGAAUCAUCGAAUCUUUGAACGCACCUUGCGCCCUUUGGCCAUUCCGAAGGGCAUGCCCGUUUGAGUAUCAUGAACACCUCAACUCUUUAUGGUUUUCCAUGAUGAGCUUGGACUCUGGGGGUUUUGCUGGCUCACAGUCGGCUCCUCUAAAAUGAAUCAGCUUACCAGUGUUUGGUGGGUAUCAUGGGUGUGAUAACUAUCUACGCUUGUGGUUUUUCCACCAGGUAACCUUCAGCAGUGGAGGUUCGCUGGAGCUCAUAGAUGUCUCUCCUCAGUGAGGACAGCCCUUUGAAUGUUUGAUCUCAAAUCAGGUAGGACUACCCGCUGAACUUAAGCAUAUCAAUAAGCGGAGGA